rnacentral:rRNA from 1 species
AUUGAACGCUGGCGGCAUGCCUUACACAUGCAAGUCGAACGGCAGCACGGGAGCAAUCCUGGUGGCGAGUGGCGAACGGGUGAGUAAUAUAUCGGAACGUGCCCAGUAGUGGGGGAUAACUGCUCGAAAGAGCAGCUAAUACCGCAUACGACCUGAGGGUGAAAGCGGGGGAUCGCAAGACCUCGCGCUAUUGGAGCGGCCGAUAUCAGAUUAGCUAGUUGGUGGGGUAAAAGCUCACCAAGGCGACGAUCUGUAGCUGGUCUGAGAGGACGACCAGCCACACUGGGACUGAGACACGGCCCAGACUCCUACGGGAGGCAGCAGUGGGGAAUUUUGGACAAUGGGCGAAAGCCUGAUCCAGCCAUUCCGCGUGCAGGAUGAAGGCCCUUGGGUUGUAAACUGCUUUUGUACAGAACGAAAAGGUUUCUACUAAUACUAGGAGCUCAUGACGGUACUGUAAGAAUAAGCACCGGCUAACUACGUGCCAGCCGCCGCAGUAA